UGAGGAAUAUUGGUCAAUGGACGAGAGUCUGAACCAGCCAAGUAGCGUGAAGGAUGACUGCCCUAUGGGUUGUAAACUUCUUUUAUACGGGAAUAAAGUGAGGCACGUGUGCCUUUUUGUAUGUACCGUAUGAAUAAGGAUCGGCUAACUCCGUGCCAGCAGCCGCGGUAAUACGGAGGAUCCGAGCGUUAUCCGGAUUUAUUGGGUUUAAAGGGAGCGUAGGCGGACGCUUAAGUCAGUUGUGAAAGUUUGCGGCUCAACCGUAAAAUUGCAGUUGAUACUGGGUGUCUUGAGUACAGUAGAGGCAGGCGGAAUUCGUGGUGUAGCGGUGAAAUGCUUAGAUAUCACGAAGAACUCCGAUUGCGAAGGCAGCUUGCUGGACUGUAACUGACGCUGAUGCUCGAAAGUGUGGGUAUCAAACAGGAUUAGAUACCCUGGUAGUCCACACAGUAAACGAUGAAUACUCGCUGUUUGCGAUAUACAGUAAGCGGCCAAGCGAAAGCGUUAAGUAUUCCACCUGGGGAGUACGCCGGCAACGGUGAAACUCAAAGGAAUUGACGGGGGCCCGCACAAGCGGAGGAACAUGUGGUUUAAUUCGAUGAUACGCGAGGAACCUUACCCGGGCUUGAAUUGCAACUGAAUGAUGUGGAGACAUGUCAGCCGCAAGGCAGUUGUGAAGGUGCUGCAUGGUUGUCGUCAGCUCGUGCCGUGAGGUGUCGGCUUAAGUGCCAUAACGAGCGCAACCCUUAUCGAUAGUUACCAUCAGGUUAUGCUGGGGACUCUGUCGAGACUGCCGUCGUAAGAUGUGAGGAAGGUGGGGAUGACGUCAAAUCAGCACGGCCCUUACGUCCGGGGCUACACACGUGUUACAAUGGGGGGUACAGAAGGCAGCUACACGGCGACGUGAUGCUAAUCCCAAAAGCCUCUCUCAGUUCGGAUUGGAGUCUGCAACCCGACUCCAUGAAGCUGGAUUCGCUAGUAAUCGCGCAUCAGCCACGGCGCGGUGAAUACGUUCCC
rnacentral:rRNA from 1 species